UACGAAGGGGGCGAGCGUUGUUCGGAUUUACUGGGCGUAAAGGGCGCGCAGGCGGCGGACCAAGUCAGGCGUGAAAGCCCCGGGCUUAACCUGGGAGGUGCGUCUGGGACUGGUACGCUAGAGUUCGGGAGAGGAGAGUGGAAUUCCCAGUGUAGAGGUGAAAUUCGUAGAUAUUGGGAAGAACACCGGUGGCGAAGGCGGCCCACUGGCCCGAUACUGACGCUGAGGUGCGAAAGCGUGGGGAGCAAACAGG
rnacentral:rRNA from 1 species